rnacentral:tRNA from 2 species
GGCGUCUUGGCCGAGCGGCUAGGCAGCGGUCUGCAAAACCGUCUACCCCGGUUCGAAUCCGGGAGAUGCCUCCA